GCCGUUUUAGCUCAGUUAGUAGAGCACAUGGCUUUUAACCUUGUGGUUGUGGGUUCGAUUCCCAUAUAUGGCC